AUUGAACGCUGGCGGCAUGCCUUACACAUGCAAGUCGAACGGCAGCACGGGUGCUUGCCCCUGGUGGCGAGUGGCGAACGGGUGAGUAAUACAUCGGAACAUGUCCUGUAGUGGGGGAUAGCCCGGCGAAAGCCGGAUUAAUACCGCAUACGAUCUACGGAUGAAAGCGGGGGCCCUUCGGGCCUCGCGCUAUAGGGUUGGCCGAUGGCUGAUUAGCUAGUUGGUGGGGUAAAGGCCUACCAAGGCGACGAUCAGUAGCUGGUCUGAGAGGACGACCAGCCACACUGGGACUGAGACACGGCCCAGACUCCUACGGGAGGCAGCAGUGGGGAAUUUUGGACAAUGGGCGAAAGCCUGAUCCAGCAAUGCCGCGUGUGUGAAGAAGGCCUUCGGGUUGUAAAGCACUUUUGUCCGGAAAGAAAUACUUGGCUCUAAUACAGUCGGGGGAUGACGGUACCGGAAGAAUAAGCACCGGCUAACUACGUG
rnacentral:rRNA from 1 species